rnacentral:rRNA from 1 species
UUUAUCUUAAUGGCGGACGGGUGAGUAACGCGUGGGUAACCUGCCCUGUACAGGGGAUAACACUUAGAAAUAGGUGCUAAAACCGCAUAAGCGCACAGUACCGCAUGGUACAGUGUGAAAAACUCCGGUGGUACAGGAUGGACCCGCGUCUGAUUAGCUGGUUGGAGGGGUAACGGCCCACCAAGGCGACGAUCAGUAGCCGGCCUGAGAGGGUGAACGGCCACAUUGGGACUGAGACACGGCCCAAACUCCUACGGAAGGCAGCAG